GUGGGGAAUAUUGCACAAUGGGGGAAACCCUGAUGCAGCAACGCCACGUGUGGGAAGAAGCAUUUCGGUGUGUAAACCACUGUCAUGAGGGAAUAAGGCCCGUUUUAGGACGGGAUUGAAUGUACCUUGAGAGGAAGCACCGGCAAACUUCGUGCCAGCAGCCGCGGUAAUACGAGGGGUGCAAGCGUUGUUCGGAAUUACUGGGCGUAAAGGGAGCGUAGGCGGAGAUUCAAGCGGAUUGUACAAUCCCGGGGCCCAACCCCGGCUCUGCAGUCCGAACUGGAUCUCUUGGAUAGUUCAGGGGCAGGCGGAAUUCCUGGUGUAGCGGUGGAAUGCGUAGAGAUCAGGAAGAACACCGAUGGCGAAGGCAGCCUGCUGGGGACUCAUCGACGCUGAGGCUCGAAAGUGCGGGUAGCAAACAGG
rnacentral:rRNA from 1 species